GAUCUAUGACGUCACAUGUUUGCUGCUGAGCUACCUAGCAAUCAGCAAUGGCGGAGAUGUCAGCAUGUUAUCAUUGGAUGACAACACGAUUGAUAAAUGUAUAAGAUUAUUAGUAACGAUAUGCAUUUGUUUGUUGGUCAGCACAUGGUUCGAAUUGCCUUCUUUCUACUGGUACCUCACUUGUGUGGAGCCCGACCUGGGAUAUUACAAGAGCGUUGUUACUUAUUUUAUGGAUGUGAGAGUUAAGAGGAUAUGUCCAACUCGAGCUGAAAUAAUAAAGGACAUUGUGUACAAUGCAUUCUUUGCCAUCGUUUUCGACGAAUUGUAACAGAGUCAAACAGAGAUGGCCAACCACAGUGCCCAUGUUCCGGGAAUGGAGAACUCGUAUGUGAUCUCAUUUGUUGGAUCGAGAAAAUGCCGAUGAUGGAAAAACAGCUGUGGGAAUGACGCGUAACACAUUCUAUAUUGUUUUAAAGUUUGUCAUAAUGACUAGUUGGGCCUUUCCGACAUUAACCAUUGAUGGUUUCGUGGGAGAAAAACUGCCAACAUACUCGUUGAAUUGAUCAUUAAAACAUCCGUUCA